rnacentral:lncRNA from 1 species
UUUUCAUGUAACUACAAUAAUCGGUAACGGAUUAAAUUUUUCAAGUAAUCCGCCAAACACUGCACACACGCAGUUACUGCUAGAACUAUUAGCCUAUAAGAAGUAAGGACGAGGGACUAGUGAGGACAGGUAUUGGGGAAUGAUGUGUGUUUACAUUUACAUUUGAGUAAUUUAGCAGAUGCUUUUAUCCAGGGUGAUUUACGGUUAGUGCAUUCAUCUUAAAAUAGCUAGGUGGAACAACCACAUAUCACGGUCCCAUACCCAUAUAGAUGCGUGCCAGGCUGUGUGGCCAGUCUCGUGCUGCCAGCUCCAGGUAGCCAGGUGGUUUGAGAGCUGAGGCCUGCAGGAACUCUCUCAGACCAGAGAAGGGCCCCUAACCUGGAUGUGUGUGACGUAGGCCUGCAGUACGAGGCCUGAGCUCCGAGAGACACAGCAGAGAACAUCCAGAGACAGAAUAUUAGUGGUCCCCUCCCAGAUACUCAACAGCUAGAGAGAGAGAAGGUUUGGGAAAAGAUGGGUUAAUAGGUGAGGUUUUCAGUGUGUGUAAGGAUGUCUCCCACCGCCACUCCACGUACGUCCUCUCGUAUCUGAUGGCGACCAGCCCCUCCUGUGCUGAUAGGUCCUUCAUGUGUAGCCAAGCGGGGGAGGUGACGAUGCAUUCCACAUGGCAACCCCAGGGAUCAUUGGUCACCAACCGACCUCACUCCUGACCCCACCCAUCUACCUCACGCACCAACUGCUCCCCAAACACUCACAGGUGUCUCCUCAGGUAUCCCUGUAGCAGAGCGUCCUCCAGGAAGGGGUUCAGGUCUCUCCUGGAAGAACCCUCCUAUCCAGGCCAGGAGAACUCUGGCUGCCCCUCUGCUCCAGUGACAUCUUGGGGUGACCAAGCCAGGCCCCGCUGAACCAUGCUGGCAGAACUGCUGCUUGACAGCUCGCAAACAUUCUAAUACACAGCCGGUAAAAGCGUCUGGUGACCUGCCGGUGCAGCAGUGGGCUCGAAGCCAUGGUCCAGGAGCUCAGACGUCACGUCACUGGCCUGAAUAUGACAAGUAAACAGAUUUUUUUCAAAACCAGCAGCUGCAUUUCUUUGGUUAAAUUUAAAGGCCUACUCCUUGAUUUGAAAAAUAACAAAACGGCAGCCCUUGCACUUGGUUUGCUGUAAAGCUAGGUAGAGAAACGACACUCAAGUUUAAGGAUCAACAUUUAUAAGAAUCAAUGAAUAUACACAUGAUUAUUUAAAUUAUAAAAAACGGCUGUAAGUAUCACAGUGGGCCGUUAAUAAGCAAUCUUAUGGAUGUGCAGUAGGAAAUCUUACUGCAAAAAAAUGAAUUUAUGUAACAGUCAACGCCUUUCAUAUGUGUGGUUAAACAACUUCAACAUUGGGUUUAGUAAUGGGCCUAAUAUGCAAAGAAAAACCCCCAAAUAAAACAUUAUGCAAUGCCAACAUUUGUGAUCCAAAAGUGUGUUAAAAUUCAGGCACUGUAGCGACAGAGCAAUCUCUAUGCUUCACGUUAGUCUGGCACUGGCAGUGGCGGUUCUAGACCAUUUCAACUGGGGGGGCCAAGCUGGGGCCAGUUGUACUGUUAGAGGGGCCAGUUACAUUAGACGUUAUUGUUGUCAUAUCGUUUU